rnacentral:sRNA from 1 species
CCCCAAUUUGGACAUCCAGUGGUUCCAGGAUUGUCAUCCAUUCUCCAUUAGAUUGCUUUGGCAUCACUGUGGACAUUUUUGAUAGUUUAAAGGACAGGGUUUUCUUAGUCAAGUAUGGAGAGAGAACAGUUACUCCUUCCUGGUCUCCUAAUCUCUUUACUUGUAUUCUGGAUGCUCCUAAAUCCUGACUCAGUAAGCCCAUGGAAUUUUCUGUGGUUGGCAAUAAGUUGUAGUGAUUGGAUUAUCUGUUCUGUCUGGACAUAGGAUGACCAGUGUCCCAGUGAAGGAACGGGUGAAGGUGUCUCAGAACUGGAGACUGGGGCGCUGCCGAGAGGGGAUUCUGCUGAAGUGGAGAUGCAGUCAGAUGCCCUGGAUGCAGCUAGAGGAUGAUUCUCUGUACAUAUCCCAAGCUAAUUUCAUCCUGGCCUACCAGUUCCGUCCAGAUGGUGCCAGCUUGAACCGUCGGCCU